rnacentral:rRNA from 1 species
UGGCGGCGUGCCUAAUACAUGCAAGUCGAACGAGUUCUGAUUAUUGAAAGGUGCUUGCAUCUUGAUUUAAUUUUGAACGAGUGGCGGACGGGUGAGUAACACGUGGGUAACCUGCCCUUAAGUGGGGGAUAACAUUUGGAAACAGAUGCUAAUACCGCAUAAAUCCAAGAACCGCAUGGUUCUUGGCUGAAAGAUGGCGUAAGCUAUCGCUUUUGGAUGGACCCGCGGCGUAUUAGCUAGUUGGUGAGGUAACGGCUCACCAAGGCAAUGAUACGUAGCCGAACUGAGAGGUUGAUCGGCCACAUUGGGACUGAGACACGGCCCAAACUCCUACGGGAGGCAGCAGUAGGGAAUCUUCCACAAUGGACGCAAGUCUGAUGGAGCAACGCCGCGUGAGUGAAGAAGGCUUUCGGGUCGUAAAACUCUGUUGUUGGAGAAGAAUGGUCGGCAGAGUAACUGUUGUCGGCGUGACGGUAUCCAACCAGAAAGCCACGGCUAACUACGUGCCAGCAGCCGCGGUAAUACGUAGGUGGCAAGCGUUAUCCGGAUUUAUUGGGCGUAAAGCGAGCGCAGGCGGUUUUUUAAGUCUGAUGUGAAAGCCCUCGGCUUAACCGAGGAAGUGCAUCGGAAACUGGGAAACUUGAGUGCAGAAGAGGACAGUGGAACUCCAUGUGUAGCGGUGAAAUGCGUAGAUAUAUGGAAGAACACCAGUGGCGAAGGCGGCUGUCUGGUCUGUAACUGACGCUGAGGCUCGAAAGCAUGGGUAGCGAACAGGAUUAGAUACCCUGGUAGUCCAUGCCGUAAACGAUGAAUGCUAGGUGUUGGAGGGUUUCCGCCCUUCAGUGCCGCAGCUAACGCAUUAAGCAUUCCGCCUGGGGAGUACGACCGCAAGGUUGAAACUCAAAGGAAUUGACGGGGGCCCGCACAAGCGGUGGAGCAUGUGGUUUAAUUCGAAGCAACGCGAAGAACCUUACCAGGUCUUGACAUCUUUUGAUCACCUGAGAGAUCAGGUUUCCCCUUCGGGGGCAAAAUGACAGGUGGUGCAUGGUUGUCGUCAGCUCGUGUCGUGAGAUGUUGGGUUAAGUCCCGCAACGAGCGCAACCCUUAUGACUAGUUGCCAGCAUUUAGUUGGGCACUCUAGUAAGACUGCCGGUGACAAACCGGAGGAAGGUGGGGAUGACGUCAAAUCAUCAUGCCCCUUAUGACCUGGGCUACACACGUGCUACAAUGGAUGGUACAACGAGUUGCGAGACCGCGAGGUCAAGCUAAUCUCUUAAAGCCAUUCUCAGUUCGGACUGUAGGCUGCAACUCGCCUACACGAAGUCGGAAUCGCUAGUAAUCGCGGAUCAGCACGCCGCGGUGAAUACGUUCCCGGGCCUUGUACACACCGCCCGUCACACCAUGAGAGUUUGUAACACCCGAAGCCGGUGGCGUAACCCUUUUAGGGAGCGAGCCGUCUAAGGUGGGACAAAUGAUUAGGGUG